rnacentral:rRNA from 1 species
UACGUAGGGGGCAAGCGUUGUCCGGAAUUAUUGGGCGUAAAGAGCGUGUAGGCGGUUCGAUAAGUCUGCUGUAAAAGUCCAGGGCUCAACCCUGGAAAGCCGGUGGAUACUGUUGAACUAGAGUCCGGAAGAGGCGAGUGGAAUUCCUGGUGUAGCGGUGAAAUGCGCAGAUAUCAGGAGGAACACCAAUAGCGAAGGCAGCUCGCUGGGACGUUACUGACACUGAGGCGCGAAAGCGUGGGGAGCGAACAGG